UUACAGGGAAUCUAUUUUCUCGAAGUAAUUUUAUCACAGCAUUUUUUCGUUCUUCUAAUGUGGUUUGAAGAAUAUUUACUGGAGCGUUUGUAAACAAUUCUGCCUUGUAACAAUACAACACUGCAAAACAACUUAUAAAUUAUUUAUGAAUAAAGGAAUAAUUGAAAAUUUUAAAUAAUGUACAAACGAUUCUAACCUUUCCGAUACUGGAUCAACUGUAUAAACAACACCAGAUAUCAUGGUAUUAUCUUCAGUUAAAAUGUUCACUUUCAUACCAAUGUAACUUUUAAAUAAUAAAGGAUCAUUUUUAUAAA